rnacentral:rRNA from 1 species
GCAUGCCGCGGUGAAUACGUUCCCGGGCCUUGUACACACCGCCCGUCACACCAUGAGAGUUUGUAACACCCAAAGCCGGUGAGAUAACCUUCGGGAGUCAGCCGUCUAAGGUGGGACAGAUGAUUAGGGUGAAGUCGUAACAAGGUAGCCGUAGGAGAACCUGCGGCUGGAUCACCUCCUUUCUAAGGAA